GAUGAACGCUGGCGGCGUGCCUAAUACAUGCAAGUAGAACGCUGAAGGAAGGAGCUUGCUCUUUCCGGAUGAGUUGCGAACGGGUGAGUAACGCGUAGGUAACCUGCCUGGUAGCGGGGGAUAACUAUUGGAAACGAUAGCUAAUACCGCAUAACAGUAGAUGUUGCAUGAUAUCUACUUAAAAGGUGCAAUUGCACCACUACCAGAUGGACCUGCGUUGUAUUAGCUAGUUGGUGAGGUAACGGCUCACCAAGGCGACGAUACAUAGCCGACCUGAGAGGGUGAUCGGCCACACUGGGACUGAGACACGGCCCAGACUCCUACGGGAGGCAGCAGUAGGGAAUCUUCGGCAAUGAACGGAAGUCUGACCGAGCAACGCCGCGUGAGUGAAGAAGGUUUUCGGAUCGUAAAGCUCUGUUGUAAGAGAAGAACGAGUGUGAGAGUGGAAAGUUCACACUGUGACGGUAUCUUACCAGAAAGGGACGGCUAACUACGUG
rnacentral:rRNA from 1 species